rnacentral:lncRNA from 10 species
GACCCGAGCUGGGGAGGGGCGGUGGCUUUAUGCUGACAAAACAACAGCUGCCCGUUAUCCCCUCCCCGGUUUAGCUCCAUCACAACCCCACCUCCGUGUGCUUACCGGAGUGGCCAUGGGCUGUCUUGGAAUGGGCAGGUGAAGGAUUGAAGGAAAUGGGUAGCGGUGGAAAUAGCUUACAAGCCCAGAGCCAGAAGCUGAAUGUCGUAAGAUGAGGAGAAGAAACAGAGGCUCAGCGAGUGAGGUCGCAUACCCGAGGUCACCCAGCAAGCAGUAUUCCAACCCAAUUCUCCAUCCGAAGCUCUCAGCAGCAUUCCGGAAACAGCGCCAGGCCCCCUGGAGGAGCCGGUCUGCUGCUGGCUGCGGGGCUGGAAGGGGCUUGCGGUUCCCUAGCCUCCCUCAGAGCUGCUGGGUUCCUGGAGGAGAGGCUUGUGCUGCCCCCAGGGGAGGGAGGGCAAAAUUGGCCUAAGACCAAGGCAGCCGCAGGAGGGGCCAGCCUCUUGCAAAUGAAAUAUUCAUGGGGGUUAUUGAAUCAAGUUUUAUUGGAAUAAAAAUACA